GCCCGCCUAGCUCAAUCGGAUAGAGCGUCAGACUCUUAGGCGGGUUGGACCUUUGUGAUCUGAAGGCUGCGAGUUCGACCCUCGCGGUGGGCU